UACGUAGGGGGCAAGCGUUGUCCGGAAUCAUUGGGCGUAAAGAGCGUGUAGGCGGUUCGGUAAGUCGGCUGUGAAAGUCCAGGGCUCAACCCUGGGAUGCCGGUCGAUACUGCCGGACUAGAGUUCGGAAGAGGCGAGUGGAAUUCCCGGUGUAGCGGGUGAAAUGCGCAGAUAUCGGGAGGAACACCUAUGGCGAAGGCAGCUCGCUGGGACGUUACUGACGCU
rnacentral:rRNA from 1 species